UUAACAUUAUUAUUAAUAUAUUAAAGAUAAAUAAAAAAGGGUAUAAAAAUCUAAGUUGGUGGUAACAAGCAAGUUAAGCAAGAGAUUUAGUUUAUGCAGCAUCCUACCUAACACAACCAUAUCGACCAUAUUUUUCUGUAAAAAUUCACAUUCACAUCAUAAUUUUGAUUUUUUUUAAUCUUGAUGAAGAAGUGAUAAUAACCAUUAGAAACCACGCGGAUAAUUGUGAUUAUUGUGAUUAGUGAAUAUCAGGAUUGAACUCUGGUGAAAGCAUCCAACCUAUC
rnacentral:lncRNA from 1 species